UACGUAGGGUGCGAGCGUUAAUCGGAAUUACUGGGCGUAAAGCGUGCGCAGGCGGUUCGUUAUGUCCGAUGUGAAAGCCCCGAGCUCAACUUGGGAAUGGCAUUGGAAACUGGCGGGCUGGAGUGUGGCAGAGGGGGGUGGAAUUCCACGUGUAGCAGUGAAAUGCGUAGAGAUGUGGAGGAACACCGAUGGCGAAGGCAGCCCCCUGGGCCAACACUGACGCUCAGGCACGAAAGCGUGGGGAGCAAACAGGA
rnacentral:rRNA from 1 species